rnacentral:rRNA from 1 species
CUUAGCAUAUCAAUAAGCGGAGGAAAAGAAACCAACAGGGAUUGCCCUAGUAACGGCGAGUGAAGCGGCAACAGCUCAAAUUUGAAAUCUGGCUCUAUUUUGGAGUCCGAGUUGUAAUUUGUAGAGGGCGCUUUGGCGUCGGCAGCGGUCUAAGUUCCUUGGAACAGGACGUCACAGAGGGUGAGAAUCCCGUAUGUGGUCGCGUGCCUUCGCCGUGUAAAGCCCCUUCGACGAGUCGAGUUGUUUGGGAAUGCAGCUCUAAAUGGGAGGUAAAUUUCUUCUAAAGCUAAAUACUGGCCAGAGACCGAUAGCGCACAAGUAGAGUGAUCGAAAGAUGAAAAGCACUUUGGAAAGAGAGUCAAAAAGCACGUGAAAUUGUUGAAAGGGAAGCGCUUGCAGCCAGACUUGCCUGCGGUUGCUCAUCCGGGCUCUCGCCCGGUGCACUCUUCCGUAGGCAGGCCAGCAUCAGUUUGGGCGGCUGGAUAAAGGCCUCUGUCAUGUACCUUCCCUCGGGAAGGCCUUAUAGGGGAGGCGUAAUGCAGCCAGCCUGGACUGAGGUCCGCGCAUUUGCUAGGAUGCUGGCGUAAUGGCUGUAAGCGGCCCGUCUUGAAACACGGACCAAGGAGUCUAACAUCUAUGCGAGUGUUUGGGUGUCAAGCCCGGGCGCGCAAUGAAAGUGAACGGAGGUGGGAACCCUUUGCGGGGUGCACCAUCGACCGAUCCUGAUGUCUUCGGAUGGAUUUGAGUAAGAGCAUAGCUGUUGGGACCCGAAAGAUGGUGAACUAUGCUUGAAUAGGGUGAAGCCAGAGGAAACUCUGGUGGAGGCUCGCAGCGGUUCUGACGUGCAAAUCGAUCGUCAAAUUUGGGCAUAGGGGCGAAAGACUAAUCGAACUAUCUAGUAGCUGGUUCCUGCCGA